AGAGUUUGAUCCUGGCUCAGAUUGAACGUUGGCGGCAGGCUUAACACAUGCAAGUCGAACGAGAAAGGUCCUUCGGGGCCGAGUAAAGUGGCGGACGGGUGAGUAACGCGUAGGAAUCUACCUAGUAGUGGGGGACAACUCGAGGAAACUCGAGCUAAUACCGCAUACGACCUUAGGGUGAAAGUGGGGGAUCUUCGGACCUCACGCUAUUAGAGGAGCCUGCGUUGGAUUAGCUUGUUGGUGAGGUAACGGCUCACCAAGGCUUCGAUCCAUAGCUGGUCUGAGAGGACGAUCAGCCACACUGGAACUGAGACACGGUCCAGACUCCUACGGGAGGCAGCAGUGGGGGAAUAUUGCACAAUGGGCGAAAGCCUGAUGCAGCCAUGCCGCGUGUGUGAAGAAGGCCUUAGGGUUGUAAAGCACUUUCAGUAGCGAAGAAAGCACAGGGUCAAUACCCCUGAAACUUGACGUUAACUACAGAAGAAGAUCCGGCUAACUCCGUGCCAGCAGCCGCGGUAAUACGGAGGGAUCGAACGUUAAUCGGAAUUACUGGGCGUAAAGCGAGCGUAGGCGGUUUGUUAAGUGGGAUGUGAAAGCCCCGGGCUCAACCUGGGAAUUGCAUUCCAAACUGGCAGACUAGAGUGUAGUAGAGGGAGGUGGAAUGUGCUGUGUAGCGGUGAAAUGCGUAGAUAUAGCACGGAACACCAGUGGCGAAGGCGGCCUCCUGGACUAACACUGACGCUGAGGUUCGAAAGCGUGGGGAGCAAACAGGAUUAGAUACCCUGGUAGUCCACGCCGUAAACGAUGAGAACUAGCCGUUGUUGGGCCCCCUAGGGGUUUGGUGGCGAAGCUAACGCGAUAAGUUCUGCGCCUGGGGAGUACGGCCGCAAGGUUAAAACUCAAAUGAAUUGACGGGGGCCCGCACAAGCGGUGGAGCAUGUGGUUUAAUUCGAUGCAACGCGAAGAACCUUACCUGGACUUGACAUGUUAGUGAAACUCUGGUGAAAGCCAGAGCUUCUGCGAGCUUGCUCAAGGACACUAUCACAGGUGAUGCAUGGCUGUCGUCAGCUCGUGUCGUGAGAUGUUCGGUUAAGUCCGAUAACGAGCGCAACCCCUAUCCUUAGUUGCCAGCACGUAAUGGUGGGGACUCUAGGGAAACUGCCCGGGAUAACCGGAAGGAAGGUGGGGUCGACGUCAAGUCAGUAUGUCCCUUACGUCCAGGGCUACACACGUAAUACAAUGGAGAGUACAGAGGGUCGCAAAGCUGCAAAGUGGAGCCAAUCCCAAAAAACUCUUCCAAGUUCAGAUUGCAGUCUGCAACUCGACUGCAUGAAGCAGGAAUCGCUAGUAAUCGCGCAUCAGCAUGGCGCGGUGAAUACGUUCCCGGGUCUUGUACACACCGCCCGUCACGCCAUGGAAGCCGGUAGCACCCAACGUCAGUGCCCUAACCUUCGGGAAGGAGCUGCUUAAGGUGAGAUUGGUAACUGGGGCGAAGUCGUAACAAGGUAACC
rnacentral:rRNA from 1 species